rnacentral:rRNA from 1 species
AGUGAACGCUGGCGGUAGGCCUAACACAUGCAAGUCGAACGGCAGCACAGUAAGAGCUUGCUCUUACGGGUGGCGAGUGGCGGACGGGUGAGGAAUACAUCGGAAUCUACUUUUUCGUGGGGGAUAACGUAGGGAAACUUACGCUAAUACCGCAUACGACCUACGGGUGAAAGCAGGGGAUCUUCGGACCUUGCGCGAUUGAAUGAGCCGAUGUCGGAUUAGCUAGUUGGCGGGGUAAAGGCCCACCAAGGCGACGAUCCGUAGCUGGUCUGAGAGGAUGAUACGCCACACUGGAACGGAAAACCGGGCAGACACCCCAAGGGAGGCAGAGGUGGGGAAUUUGGGAAAAGGGGGGAAAGCCUGUUCCAGCCAUACCGGGGGGGUGAAGAAGGCCUUCGGUUUGUAAAGCCUUUUUGUUGGGAAAAAAAAGAAGCAGGUUAAACCCCCACUGUUCGGGCGGAACCAAAAAAAAAAGCACCGGCUAAUUUGGU